CCGGAGGCAGGAAAGGCUUCGGCCGGACAGGGAUGGGCAUGCGGCGCAUUAGGCAGUAGGCGGGGUAACGGCCCACCUAACCGACGAUGCGUAGGGGUUCUGAGAGGAAGGUCCCCCACACUGGUACUGAGACACGGACCAGACUCCUACGGAAGGCAGCAG
rnacentral:rRNA from 1 species